rnacentral:rRNA from 1 species
GACGAACGCUGGCGGCGUGCUUAACACAUGCAAGUCGAGCGGUAAGGCCCUUCGGGGUACACGAGCGGCGAACGGGUGAGUAACACGUGGGUGACCUGCCCCCUACUCUGGGAUAAGCCUGGGAAACUGGGUCUAAUACCGGAUAUGACUACAUGUCGCAUGGUGUGUGGUGGAAAGUUUUUCGGUGGGGGAUGGGCCCGCGGCCUAUCAGCUUGUUGGUGGGGUGAUGGCCUACCAAGGCGACGACGGGUAGCCGGCCUGAGAGGGCGACCGGCCACACUGGGACUGAGACACGGCCCAGACUCCUACGGGAGGCAGCAGUGGGGAAUAUUGCGCAAUGGGCGGAAGCCUGACGCAGCGACGCCGCGUGGGGGAUGACGGCCUUCGGGUUGUAAACCUCUUUCGGCCCCGACGAAGCGUGAGUGACGGUAGGGGUAGAAGAAGCACCGGCCAACUACGUGCCAGCCGCCGCCGUAACAC